rnacentral:rRNA from 1 species
GCUCAGAAACUCAAGGAAUUGACGGGGCCCGCACAAGCGGUGGAGCAUGUUGGUUUAAUUCGAUGAUACGCGAGGAACCUUACCUGGGCUCAAAUGUAUGUUGACGUAUUCUGAAAGGGAUACUUCUUCGGACAAUAUACAAGGUGCUGCAUGGUUGUCGUCAGCUCGUGCCGUGAGGUGUCGGGUUAAGUCCCAUAACGAGCGCAACCCCUAUCAUUAGUUGCCAUCAGGUCAAGCUGGGGACUCUAAUGAAACUGCCUACGCAAGUAGUGAGGAAGGUGGGGAUGACGUCAAAUCAGCACGGCCCUUACGUCCAGGGCUACACACGUGCUACAAUGGCCGGUACAAAGGGCAGCUACCUGGUGACAGGAUGCUAAUCUCAAAAGCCGGUCUCAGUUCGGAUCGGAGUCUGCAACCCGACUUCAUGAAGCUGGAAUCGCUAGUAAUCGUGGAUCAGCCAAGCCGCGGUGAAUACGUUCCCGGGCCUU